rnacentral:rRNA from 1 species
GACGAACGCUGGCGGCGUGCUUAACACAUGCAAGUCGAACGGAAAGGCCCUGCUUUUGUCGGGUGCUCGAGUGGCGAACGGGUGAUUAACAACUGAGUAACCUGCCCUUGACUUUGGGAUAACUUCAGGAAACUGGGGCUAAUACCGGAAAGAAGCUCCUGCUGCAUGGUGGGAGUUGGAAAGCUUAGGCGGUUGGGGAGGAACUCGCGCCUGAUCAGCUUGUGGGUGGGGUAGUGGCUUACCAAGGCUUUGACGGCUAGCCGGACUGAGAGGGUGACCGGCCACAUUGGGAUUGAGAUACAGCCCCGACUCCUACGCGAGCGAGCAGCAGGGAAUAUUGCAUUAUGGGAGGAGGCGUAAUGCAGAAACGCCGCGUGCGGGAUGACGGCAUUCGGUUUGUAAUCCGAUUUCCUCUGUGACGAGGCGUGAGUGACGGUAAUGUGCAAAGAAGGACCGGCUAACUACGUG